CGUCGCGGAUCACAAUUCACAAACCGACCUAAAACGCUCGUUGAGUCGUUGACGGUCCGCUCUCGGGCUUCGUUCUAUUUCUAGUCUCUCUUCUAGGAGCACUGAUCGCAGCAUCUUAGGGUUUCCUCUCCACAUCUGGAAAGCCCUGUCACACACGGGAGGUCGCUCAUCGCUCAAUUCUCUCGAUUCUUAGGGUUUCCUCCUUUUUGCUUUUUGCUUCUUUGUCUCGCGCUUCAAUUUUUAGGGUUUGUUUUUGAACCUUGUUUUAAAUUCUUCGGAGGAUAAUAAUUUCGAGAUUCUUCGAUCAAUUUUAGUUUAUUGUUCUGCUGCUUGAUCUCUAUUGCUUUUAGAUCUUGUUUAGAGAUUAUUUUUUGAAAAUUGAAAACAGAAAGAUUGGUGAAGCUGAUUGCUUCUGUGUAAGGGCUAGGGUUUUUAUAGUUGAAUUGUUUGUGAUUGGUGUCGAGGUUUUUGCUUUAUUGAGGUGUAGUUCACUGACUUUAUGGCGGCUGAGAGACAUAGGAGUUUUCGUGAUAGCGAGUUCAGGGGCCGUGAGUCUGGUAUUGAGGUGUCGAGGAGGAAUUUUGCUCAUCCCAAGGAGGAGUAUGAUCGGAGCAGGAAUGGUGGUAAUUCUAAUAAUGAUGGACGGGCUCAAGCUCGUGGGAUAAGAGAUAAGGGAAGGCUUAGACAGAAAGAUAUCAAGGAGAGGGAUGUGAUUAACGGUGGAUACAGGUCCUCUUCAAGUAGGAGUGAUUCAGGCAGUGGUGGUGGUGGACAUUGGCCCCAGGGAUCUGGUUUUUCAGUUAGGGCUGUUGAUAGGGAGCCUGGUGAGUUGUCAAGUGAGAGUGGCUCCGAAGACGCCAUUGAAUCUGAAUCACAGAUUAAAGAUAGUGAGGCCUCUGAGACUGUUGAGAAUGGGAUUCGUGCUUCGCCUUUGGUGAAAAAAAGGAAGUUUUCACCUAUUGUUUGGGAUAGAGAUGACAGGGAAGUAAGUAAUUCAUCAAGAAGUAGAAUUAGCACAACUGUGGCAGCUCUACCUCCCUCAUCACCACUGCCCAAAGUGUAUCUUCAAUCACCUGAUGUUGUUCCUGGUGGGGGCAUACAAAUAUCUCCAAUUGAGGAUAGUAAAACCAAUGAUUUGCAAUUGUCUUCACCAGUAGAGCCUUCUGUGGCAGCUCUACCUCCCUUACCACCACUGCCCAAGUUGUACCUUCAAUCACCUAAUGUUGUUCCUGGUGGGGGCAUACAAAUAUCUCCAAUUGAGGAUGGUAAAACCAAUGGUUUGCAAUUGUCUUCACCAGUAGAGCCUUCUGUGGCUUCUAAGGGUGCACGAGAUUCUCCAUUUGAAUCCCCUUUGGGUUUGUCAUCUUCGACAGUAAAGGAGCUGCAGUGGGGAAUAUAUCAGGAAGCAGAGCAGCUUGAUGAUGAUUAUGUGCCAACCUGGAAUAUUUCAUCUUCUAGAUGGGCAGCUGGAAACAAUUCUCCGGUGGAUGAAGGUGAAAUCGUAGAAGAGGAAAUGCCAAGAAGAAAGAAGAAAAUGAUGCAUAUAGAGUCCUUGGAUGCUGAAGUACGGAAUAAAUCUAAAACUCCCGAGGCAGGAGAGCCACAGAGAGAAGGCUCUGAAGGAGCUAGGGCGAGGUCAUCUGAAUCUGAUGAACGAGGUGUACGUACUAGGUCUUUCAGUGGGGAUGAUUACACUGGUACUGAUUCAGAGAAAGAUUACAUGGACAUUGAUGAGGAACGCAAUAACAAUAAUAAUAGUCUUAGCCGGUCAGAUACAGAUACCGAGGAAGAAGAUGAUUCUCAUGCAACUCCAGAGCCUCUUGCUCCUCCCCAGAGAAGUAUAAACAUGCUUCAGGGUUGUAGAAGUGUCGACGAGUUUGAAAGACUAAAUAAGAUAGAUGAAGGAACGUAUGGUGUUGUAUAUAGAGCGAGAGAUAAGAAGACUGGAGAAAUUGUAGCCUUGAAAAAGGUGAAGAUGGAGAAAGAAAGAGAAGGUUUUCCAUUAACUUCUUUGAGGGAAAUAAACAUUCUCCUUUCCUUCCAUCAUCCAUCAAUCGUGGAUGUUAAAGAAGUUGUUGUAGGGAGUAGCCUAGAUAGUAUUUUUAUGGUGAUGGAGUAUAUGGAACAUGAUCUGAAAGGACUCAUGGAAUCAAUGAAGCAGCCAUUUAGCCAGAGUGAGGUUAAAUGCCUUAUGCUUCAGCUCUUGGAAGGUGUGAAAUAUCUACAUGAUAACUGGGUUCUUCAUCGAGAUAUGAAGACGUCAAAUCUGCUUUUAAACAAUCGGGGUGAGUUGAAGAUUUGUGAUUUUGGGUUGGCUCGUCAGUAUGGCAGUCCGUUGAAACCUUACACACAUCUUGUGGUUACUCUUUGGUACAGGGCGCCUGAACUCUUGCUGGGAGCGAAACAAUAUUCAACGGCAAUUGAUAUGUGGUCACUUGGUUGUAUUAUGGCUGAAUUAUUGGCCAAGGAACCAUUGUUCAAUGGGAAAACAGAAUUUGAUCAACUUGACAAGAUUUUCCGAACCCUUGGGACCCCAAAUGAAACAAUUUGGCCUGGGUUUUCCAGGCUGCCAGGAGUCAAGGUCAAUUUCGUCAAACAGCAGUAUAAUAUGCUGCGUAAGAAAUUCCCUGCGACCUCUUUCACUGGAUCCCCAGUUUUAUCUGAUGCAGGAUUUGACUUGUUGAACAAACUUCUAACUUAUGAUCCUGAGAAGCGGAUAACUGCCAAAGCUGCUCUUGACCAUGAGUGGUUUAAAGAAGUUCCUCUUCCAAAGUCUAAAGAUUUUAUGCCGACAUUUCCCGCUCAACAUGCUCAAGACAGGCGCCUGCGGAGAAUAAUGAAGAGUCCUGAUCCUUUGGAAGAGCAACGGAAAAGGGAGUUGCAGCAAGGGGAUUUAGGGGCUAGUGGUUUGUUUGGCUAAGCCUUACUGGCAGCGGCCUUUCCUCCAUGCUUUAGUUUUCAGUGUUCCUGACAAAUGGACUUGGCUGAGGUGAGAGGCAUACAUUGAAAGGAAGUUGCCAGUAUUCUUUAUCAGAAGAUCAUUCACGCUGUUUUUCAAGUGAUGAUCUGGGUGGAUUAUCUAUUUGCCACAUCCUGUCAAACCAGUACAUGUUAACUUUGUUGUGGCAACGACCUUUCCUUCAUGCUUUAGUUUUCACUGUUUCUGACAAAUGGACAUGGCUGAGGUGAGAGGCAUGCAUUGAAAGGAAGUUGCCAGUAUUCUUUAUCAGACAAUCAUUCACGCUGUUUUUUAGCAGGACAAGUGAUGAUAUGGGUGGAAUAUCUUUUGCCGCAUCCUGUCAAACCAGUGCAGGUUAACUUUGUUCAGCUUAGAAAAUCGACUGUGACGCUGCUUGCAUUGCAAGAGACAUUUGGUGUGAAGUGGAGAAGACGUUCUUAGCUUUUCACUGAUGAAGAAUUUGAGAGUAACCAAUAUACUUCCGAGUAUCAAAGCAAGCAGGUUGAGGAGGCUCCCUGCAUACUGUGGAUUUUAUAGAACUUCCAAUUAGAUGUUCUCCAGGCUCGCUAGAGGGUUUUUGGUUGUGUUUCACAUUGAGAAUGUUGAGAAAUCAGCUUGUUAAGUACUUGGAAUGACUGCCAUAGAACAAAGAUAUAUAUUUUUUCAUGUAAAAAGAUGAUAGAUUGCGAAAACGUUACCUUGCAUUUGUUAGUUUAACUGGGAUGUUUAAAACUUCAACUAAUUAAUUAUUUAGUGGGAUAUAUGUAUUUUCAGGGACUCAUAAUUAUUAAGAAGUGGGAUUCGAGAUGAGAAAUAAAGAAUAGAAAAGUUAGUCAACUUAGGCCGAAUUCACUGGUCAAUUAUCUUCAAGAAUACUAGAAAAGGUUAUCAUGAAGAAUGUUGUAGAUGUAGAUGACAUGCAAUAGCUUUCUUACAGUUUUAGUUUUUUACUGAGUAACUUAUUUAGGUAUCAUUGGAAUUUGAUGAUACAUGGCAUUCAUUGUGAAAAAAUGCGUGAUUCUUUUAUGGGCAAUGAGGCAUCUGGAACGAUAAUUCAUGAAAGCAAACUUGGGGGAUAAUUCUUUUUUGUUACGGAUUUAGUCCAUAUCAGUAUAAUAUCUUGGUUGUGCCGAAAUAGCACGUGCACCUUUUGUUGUUAAACACUCGCCCCCCACCAACCCCUGGCAUCUCCCUAGAUGAAACCCUCCAACAGUCUAACCCCUCACCAGUAUAGUUAAAAUAGGUGGAGGUGAUUAAUUGAGCUUGUUUAGUUCAUUUCGCAUCUAGUUUGGGUAAUUUUACUAAUUUGAAAGGAUAUACUCAUUUGAGAUUGGUGGUCAAAAGUGAUAAAUGGGUUUUCAUCAGUUCUUUAUGUUUAUGAUUAGUUUCUUUUCCCAUCUUGUUUUUAUAUUAAGAAGUUCUUUGUUUUAUUUUUGAGCACAUGUUCUGGAUGUUGCAGUUUGGUCAGUUCCAUUUAAUAUAAACUGUGUUGUUGCAAUUUAUUUUCCUUGGAAAGUUGUUAAGUUGGUAGUUGCAGUGAGGUGUUCUUUUUUGUGUUCUAGCAUUAACUGGCUUGCAAAUAUAUUACUGUCAUCGAUUCUAUCUCUUUGAAAUGAAUUUUGCUUUCUUUUUUCCUUCCCUCACUAUCCUCUCUUUCAUGGAGAACCACCACUUUUUUGGCUUUCUGUCCUGCAUAGAUGGGUCAUGUCUGCCAUUAACUGGCUAUGGCCUUUAAUGACUUCACCAAAAAAAAUUGAAAUUGUUGAGAUUUCUUUUUGAAACAAUCCUCUUUCUGUUGUAUUGCAGCUGGUCUUGGAGGUAUACGCUGUCCUUUUUCUUAAUGUGUUCAUGCAUUGUUGCAAAUGUUUGGCAACUGUUAUAUAGUUGGCUUGGCUUAAGGAAAGCUUCUUUUCCCUUUUGAUGAAAAACUAUGAACGAAAUAGGGUACUUGGAUGAUAUUUGAUGUACAAGAGUGUUUUGUCAAAGAGGAACUGGGGGAAAAAGGUGAAAUGCCAUAUGAUCAUGGGCUUUUUCUGAGUAGAUCAUUAUUAGUGGGAUAGGAGGGCAAGCCUUAAUUAGAAUGAUUUACUUAGAGAGCUAUCUAUAUGUAGUUGUGGCUACCGGCCCUUCUACUAGGAACUUUUCUACUAACAGUCAGGUGGUUUGGUUGGCGUAUGCUUCUAGCUGAGCUGAGCCUAAAUAAACAAGACAUGUAUUUGAAUAUCCUUUAGCACAUUGAAACAUGAUGCAUUUCGAUAUGUUGGCAUGCCAAUCUUUUUUCUCCGUGUUUCUCAGAGGGUAAGUUGAAUUUUCAAUAUUUUGUAAAUUUUAAUGCGUAUUUCAAUUUUUUUUAAUAUAUUAUUCAAACAAGUAUCUUUGGAUUCGAUUCGUGUUUCUUAAAAUCAUUGAGUUAAUGUGUUGGGAGCAAAAAUGUUGGGGGUUUCAAGUUUCAACCGGAGGGAGUGAAGGCGUGCAUUAGUUGUUGGAGCAAAGUUGUCGGUGUAAGCUUGUAAAUGUGGUGUUUUGGGCCGGAGGUGGAGCUGUGGAGGAGCCUCGUUAGUGGGCAAUGUACCCAUGCGGGUUUGCUAGGAAGUAUCGGUGUAUUUUUAUCCAUUUGCAUUUCUGUUUUGGGCCUGGAAGCCCAGCAGAUAGGAAGCUUGCCGUAUUUGUAUUUGUAUCCAGUGGCACACUUCAGUUAAGAGCCGGAGCGCAGCAAUGGGGAGUGUUCCUUAUUUGUAUUUGAAUCCAGUUGCAUUUCAGUUUUGAGCCUGAAAGCGGGAAUGGGAAGCGUUCCAUCUGCUUUAGUA